AACGAACGCUGGCGGCAUGCCUAACACAUGCAAGUCGAACGCGUGUAGCAAUACACGAGUGGCGGACGGGUGAGUAACGCGUGGGAACCUGCCCAGUGGUAGGGAAUAACUGCGGGAAACUGCAGCUAAUACCCUAUACGCCCUUUGGGGGAAAGAUUCAUCGCCAUUGGAGGGGCCCGGCGUCGGAUUAGCUAGUUGGCGGGGUAACGGGCCCACCAAGGCAACGAUCCGUAGCUGGUCNGAGAGGAUGAUCAGCCACACUGGGACUGAGAUACGGCCCA
rnacentral:rRNA from 1 species